GACCUCUUAGGGUUGCACCUGGAGAGUUUCCAGUCCUCUACCAGUCUUGGCUAUGGGAGGGAGAGUCAAGCAGAGGCAUAGCCAUUCCAUUCCUAGCUUGGCCAGUGGCUACCGAGUGGAAGGCAAUCUGCUACAAGU
rnacentral:snoRNA from 1 species